AUUUUUAUUUGUGUUGCAUGUUGUAAUCAGAAAACAUUUUCUACUUCCUUUAAGUAGGCAUUAUGCUGUGACUAAUCUUGUUUAAUCCACACAGGCAGAGAAUCAGAUGUUGGAUACACACUGACAACCUCACACUGACAUGGCACAGCAACGAGGACUCACACUUUUCAUGGGAUGGCUGUUUGUCUUACUUAUUAACAGUCAAGUUCCGUCUGUUGGAUGUCAGAAUACUUCUGAAGUAAUCCCACUUAAUUGCACUUCUAAUGAUACUCGAUCCCUGUAUGCCGAAGUUAAAAAAGCCCUUUGGAGUAAUGAAGUACGGCCCGUUAAACACCCAAGCGAAGUCCUAACUGUUAAAGUGGGCAUCAGUAUUACUGGUAUCCUGGGCAUGGAUGAAAAAGAGCAGGUCUUGACAUCAUUCAUUAUAAUAACACUUGACUGGUCCGUGCCAUUUCUGACGUGGGAUAACACUGCAUGUGGAUUUGAAAAUAUCUCAUAUCCAGCAUCUGCACUAUGGCUGCCAAGUAUACAAAUAGCUGAGGAGUGAGUGACCUUCCCAUUCUGGAUAAAUGCCACUAUUAAAAAUGAAGUUUAAGGCAGAAAGGAUUAUACAGAAUGAUGCCAGUUAAGAGUUUUCUAAAGCAUGGGGAUCUCAAGCUUUUUUGCUGUCAGGGACCCCUUUAACUAUAAAAUAAACUUCAGUAUAGAUUUAUUUAUAUAUUUAUAGACACUUCAGUAUAAAUUUGUUUUAUGAAAACAAUACAGCUAUCCAAAUAUUAAACUGAUUAUUUGAAUGUUUAUAAUAUUUGGAUAUUUAUUGGAUUUUUAAAAUUUCUGAAAUUUCCACCAAUAGAGCACAUUUUCAUUGGAUUCCUGCUCACAUUAUUUAUAGAUAUAAUAACUUAUAUAAUCACAGGUUGUUAUUUCCACCAUUUUAACAAAAUAUAAAAUAUCACAGACCCCCUGGCUAUACUUCAUUGUCCCUUGGGGAUCCCUGCACCUCACUUUGAGAUUCAUGGUUCUAAAGAAUCUUUCGAUCGAUCAAGCUUUAACAGUUCUUGUUGGUGCCACAAAGAACUACAAAAAAUUGUCAUGCCAAAAAUAUUGUAAAUAUGUAGAAGCUUUGUGGUGGAAAACUUUUAUUUGGUUUAUUGUGGCGACUAUAAAAAAAUAGUUCAAAAAUUAGAGACCAGGGAAUCUAAAUGGUUCUUUAAGGAACCGAACACUAGCCAGGGCCACAUCAGCAUUUUUUGUGAGACUUUGAAGGACCAUAAUCUAAGGCUAUUCUUUUGUAAACAUAGUAUUUUUUCUAUUGAUUGAUAUUUCUAGGAAUAAGUGCUAACAUAAAUGGUUCAACUGUAUUAGAUGAUAACAUUUAUCAACAUUCAUCAAAGUUUUUAAUAUGUGUUCCAAAUAUUAAAAAUAUAUAAUGUUAAGAAAGAGAUUUAAGAAGAAUUCUCACUUGAUGUCCAUACAUGUCCUUAGUCUCCCAUCUUCCCUGUCUUUGUGCAUCGAAUUUUCUUUCUUUCUUUCUUUUUUUUUUCAACAUCAGGACUUAUUUCUGUCCCACUGGAAAACAUUACAUCGGUUGUAAACAGUAAAUAUUUUAAAUAUUUAAAAUAUUGUAAAAACAGAAAUAAAAACACUUUUUUCAUAAACAUGUAUAUUUCAAAAUGGAAAGAAACAGAUUUGCUGAAGUUUGACCUCCAAUUAGGUUUUAUUUUUAGGUCUUUAAUGAGUCUCUGAGACUUACAUAUACUCUCUCAUGACAUUGCAGUAUAGAUAAACACAGAAAGCAUGACGUACUCUACAUUCAGCUCAAUUACACCGGAGGGGUUCAUUAUACUGAACCCAGAAGUGUUGCUGCCACGUGUCAAAUGGACAUCUACAAAUUUCCUUUUGACAUCCAGAAAUGCUCACUUACUUUCCAUUCCUACUUGCAUGAAGGUAACACUGUAGAAGCAUUUUCAAUAGUAUUUUUGCAUGAACUGUUGCUAAAUGUGCUAUUUACUAUAAACAUGUUGAAGAUGAGGUGAUACUGUACAGUGGAUAUAGCUUUGUAGCCUCAAGCUCCGUGUUCUUCCCAGGUCCUCUGGUUUCCUCCCAAUUCCCCAAAACAUGCUGGUAGAGCAACUGGUGACUCU